AAUAUUGGACAAUGGGGGCAACCCUGAUCCAGCCAUGCCGCGUGUGUGAAGAAGGUCUUCGGAUUGUAAAGCACUUUAAGUUGGGAGGAAGGGCUUUAGGUUAAUACCCUGAAGUUUUGACGUUACCAACAGAAUAAGCACCGGCUACCUCUGUGCCAGCAGCCGCGGUAAUACAGAGGGUGCAAGCGUGAAUCGGACUUACUGGGCGUAAAGGGCGCGUGUGUGGUUCAGUAAGAUGGGAGUGAAAUCCCCGGGCUUAACCUGGGAACUGCUUUCAUAACUGCUGAGCUAGAGUACGGUAGAGGGUAGUGGAAUUUCCUGUGUAGCGGUGAAAUGCGUAGAUAUAGGAAGGAACACCAGUGGCGAAGGCGACUACCUGGACUGAUACGGACACUGAGGUGCGAAAGCGUGGGGAGCAAA
rnacentral:rRNA from 1 species